CAUAUUGACUUGCGAAAGCCCAAUGUUAAAUUUUCAGAAAAUUUGCAAGUCAGUUGUUAAAAUUUUGGUAGCUGGAAAUCUGCCAGUCUGCCACAGUGAGAGUAUUUACACCAUGGAAAUUGGCAAAUGCUACAAAUCCCGUUUCCUCAACCACAGAGCUGGUUUUAAGCAUUUAGAAUUACUUAAGAGUUUUCUUUACUCCUUCAGUUACCUAGUUAAUAACUUGACAUCUAGUUAAGAAUACCUUAUAGUCAAUAUUUAGUUAGUUGAAUAUUUUCUUUAUUCAAUUAGUGUGGUUUCUGUAUCCUGAGUGGACCCUGAGUGAUACAUAACCUGCAGAGUUGUGCCUCUGUCAACCCCAUGGAAACUGGACACUCUGGAUAAAACCCAGAACCUAUUUUCAGAGCAGAAGGAAGGGCAGUGAGAACAGAAGCACCAGCUACUCUUACCAAGCUCCUCUCUGUGCUGAACAUCCAUCUAGGCUCCUGGAACACAGCAAUAAACAGUAUGAUGUCCCUGACCUUGGAAUUUUACAUUCUAGCAGCAACACAAAGAACUGUGGUAAAGAGAUGGCAUUUGGGCUGAGCAUUAAAGGAUGAAUACACUAGAGAGAAGAGGAACAAAAUGCCUGCAGUAAUGUCCAAACUCAGGAGUGGAAUUUAGUGUUUAUACAAUUUUGGGGUCCCUCUUUAAGAAAAACAGCACAAGAUAAUCAGUACAAAAAUUGAGAACAAAAGUAAACAU